AAACAAAUUUUCAUUCAUUUUAUCACAAUUUUUGAGACUAAAUGUUAUCAUAGGCUGUGCAUUUGAGAUACACUUUACAAUAAUAUUAGAACUUGAAAUAUUUAUAUAGGUACAGAAAAGUAUGUGUAAAAUACUUAACUUUUUAACUCCCAAAUGGGGCAAGGUACUCUUCCUAUAAAUAAUUAUGUAAAAAACUUUUGUUUUAUAAAUUUUUCAAAUUAAUAUCUUGAUAAAUCGUUAGAUUAUCGGAACCACCUCCAACGAUCUUAACUUUGACAUAUGUUGUAAACGACGUGUCCGUAACAUGCGAGAUGGAAUACUUCGUUAUGGAACCAAAGAAGAACAUUCCAUACUGGAUAAACAGCCAAGAACAUCCGGAACAAAGCAUUAACGAGCUACUUCCGUCAAAUUGUGGUCAGCGCGCCAAAGAUUUCGAUGACGAUGGAGACUUAAUAUUUCAAAAAGUAGUGCAUGGCUCCAUUGCACCAAAAGACACUUAUCCCUGGCAGGCCAGCAUUCGAGUUCGAAGGCACAGUCGAUCAAAUCAUUGGUGUGGUGCUGUUAUUAUAUCACCUCUACACGUGUUAACAGCGGCACAUUGUUUAGAAGGUUACAACAAAGGCACCUAUUUUGUAUGUGCGGGAGAUUAUAACACGGAUAUAAACGAAGGAACGGAAGUGGAAGCCAAUAUCGAGGAUUAUUACGUGCACGAAGACUUUCGUAAAGGAUGCACAUACUUCAGAUUCUUUUGCAGCGCAAUCAAAGGAUUUACGACUUGGCUGAGUGCCCUUGUUAGAUCAGUCAGUUUGCCAGCUAGUUAUGUUUAUGGUGAAGGUGCCAUAAGCGACGGAAUGAUAUGCGCUGGAGGAUAUCUUGAUGAGGGUAUCGACUAUCGACACAUGUGAUGGCGAUUCUGGAGGCUCUUUAGCCUGCUACCAUAAUGGAGCUUUCAGUUUAUACGGGAUAACUAGUUGGAGUCAACAUUGCGGCAAAGCGAAUAGACCUGGAGUUUACGUUCGCGUAGCGUAUUAUCGUCGUUGCAUCGAUCAAAAAAUUAGGGAAUCGCUAUUUAUUUCGUAAGACAUCUUCAUUUCCUACAGUAAUUGUAAUUGUGGAUUUUCUGUGACUUUUACAUGAUUGAGCCUAUUUUAUGUGUACAAUAGCUCCAAUAUAUUUAAUCCGAGGCGACUCAGUCCAAGGUGACAAUUCAACGGAUGGCAUUUAUAAAAAUUGAAUGGAAGAUAUAUAUAGCUGCGAAAAGAAGGCUAUGUUUUCAAUGUAAACUUAUAUAGCUGUCUAUAGUGAAUAACAUUACGCUAUUUUAUGAUUGAUUUAUUAUCAGAAUAGAUCAGACAAAAACUAAAAUUGUUCGCUUAUUAAAUUAUUUCUUACAACAUUAAUUUUCUUAAAAGGCAUAUGAAUAUAAAACCAAUGAGAACAUUAUAAUUAGUAUAUAAAAUAUCACGAUAUCAAGAAACAACAUAUCGAUUUUUUAUAUAAAAUUUGGAAAGAUUGUCUUAUACUUUAACACGAAGAUUGUACCGAAAGUCAUGAUCGCUAAUUUGCAAAAAUCUAAGAUUUUACAAGCAGAGAAGACAUAUACAUAUCAGACAGUUCUACGAAUAUUUCUCUAUUUUUCUGCACAUCUCUAGCUAGAUUAAUAUGUUUUGUUAAAGUUCUCACAAAAAAUUUAAGGAUACCAUUAUAGCGAUAAAAGUUUGUUUCAGCUUUUUGCUUAAAAUGUCGUAUUGUAUUUUUGAUACUAACAACAUUUAUGCUAAAAGAUUUAUAUGCAUCAAUAAUCAUCAUUUUCGGUGCAAUCUUUGUAGAACUGAAAGUCCAACUUUCAUAUUUAUGUCAUAUGUCAUAUCGAUUUAUCUUAUAGCGUAUAUCAUAUCGAUUUUUGUUGCGUUUACAAACGUUUGCGAAUAAAAAGAAGUUUAUAAAUUAUAUUAGGUACAUGAUUGUUACAAUUUUUUCUUGGCAAAAAAUUAAUGAUCUUAAAUACCAAUCUUGUAAAUAAGAUUUGCCGUUUGAAAUUUGCCAUAAUACCAUUUUUCAGUGCGUAUGCAGAAAAAAAAUAAUUAGAGAUAUGUUAAAUACAUCAAUUAUAUUUGCUAUGAAAUAAUGAACAAAAGGUGAAUUGUUCAUAAAAUUCUAAAAGGAGAUAUCCUAUCUGCCAUAUGUUGCAAUUACGACUUUAUAUUACUUAAGACUUAAGGGAAUGUUGAUCAAAAAUAUGUGCGCUUAAUAUGGAAAUUAAUAUUAAAUCUAACUUGUGAAUUCGCUUAAUUUAGGCAUAGAAUGGCCCGAAUCUGUGUCACUGGGAAAUAUGUCAUAACGAUUUAUCACAAUAAUAUACCUAAUAAUAAAUUUAUAAAACGCUAUAAUAAAUAUAAAAUGUACUUUUCAAAAUAUUUGGAUAAUAGCAUAAUAGUUUCUUUAGAACAUUACGUAAUUGAGAAAAGACUAUAGAAAAUUGUGUUGUACAGUGUACAGCGCAUUUGUGCAAUGGGCAUUUUGAUUAGAAUUGGAAGUCUCGAGAAAAUUUUUAUAAAUAAUUUUUAUAAAUAAUUUAAAUUUAAAUAUUGUUAAAUUGGUGGUAAUACAUAAUUAC